rnacentral:rRNA from 1 species
CAGCCGCCGCGGUAAUACGAAGGGGGCUAGCGUUGCUCGGAAUGACUGGGCGUAAAGGGCGCGUAGGCGGAUGGCACAGUCAGAUGUGAAAUUCCCGGGCUUAACCUGGGGGCUGCAUUUGAUACGUGGUGUCUAGAGUGAGGAAGAGGGUCGUGGAAUUCCCAGUGUAGAGGUGAAAUUCGUAGAUAUUGGGAAGAACACCGGUGGCGAAGGCGGCGACCUGGUCCUUGACUGACGCUGAGGCGCGAAAGCGUGGGGAGCAAACGGGAUUAGAUACCCGCGUAGUCCCUGUCUCUUAUAC